UACGGAGAGUGCAAACGUUGUUCGGAUUCACUGGGCGUAAAGGGCACGUAGGCGGCUCGGCAAAUCGGUCGUGGAAUCCCGACGCUUACCAUCGGAACGGCGGCCGAAAAUACCGGGCUCGAGGGCGUGAGGGGUCACUGGAACUCCUGGUGAAGCGGUGAAAUGCGUAGAUAUCAGGAGGAACGCCGGAGGCGAAAGCGAGUGACUGGCGCGUUCCUGACGCUGAGGUGCGAAAGCUAGGGGAGCAAACAGG
rnacentral:rRNA from 1 species